AUGACCAAAAGAGAAAAACCCAAUGGACUCUUUNNCAAAGAGAUAAAUUAUCACAAGUGUGGGUCACACCAGGUUAAACAGAUCCCACAUACACAGCUGGCUCUUCACAAUCUUACUGCAUACUCCAAAAGAAAACCAAAAACACCAAACAUAAAUGACAAAGAUGGCACAAGGAUGGCACCAACACAUCUGGUGUGUGACCCUACUCCAGCAGGAUCCCAUCAUCAUCCUAGAGAUGGGAAAGGGGAACAAGUAAACCAGGCCAUAAAUGAGCCUCUUUCCUCCCACAGCUUUGAAAAGGGUUGUGAAAAGGGCCAUGCAUUAUUUAGAGCCACAAAGGCAGUGACAUGAGAUGGAAACAAACAAUAAACAGUGCCCAUGUCAGUGCCUGCCUGUCCCCAUUAUACACAGACUCUGUGGUUGCCUCUAUAUACGCCAGAUUCCAUUAUAAAUUCAUUGUGGCCAUGAAUGGAUAUUGCGAGAUUCAUGAAAAGACAAGAGCUGGCUGACAAAACUAAAUUAUUCUCACUGUUUUCCAAAAAGAGGUUACAAAGGAUUGCAAUUAUUCUAGCACCAUCAUUAAACAGGUAAACAAAGAAAGAACUACAUAUUCUGCCAGAGAAUACCAUGCAGUUACAAUUUACUCCUUCAAAGGACAACCACAGAGUCUGCAAGGGGUAUGACUGCAAAGUUUCUAUUAUUUAAUGAGUAAAUC
rnacentral:lncRNA from 1 species